rnacentral:rRNA from 1 species
CCUACGGGAGGCAGCAGUGAGGAAUAUUGGUCAAUGGACGAGAGUCUGAACCAGCCAAGUAGCGUGAAGGAUGACUGCCCUAUGGGUUGUAAACUUCUUUUAUAUGGGAAUAAAAUGUUCCACGUGUGGGAGUUUGUAUGUACCAUAUGAAUAAGGAUCGACUAACUCCGUGCCAGCAGCCGCGGUAAUACGGAGGAUCCGAGCGUUAUCCGGAUUUAUUGGGUUUAAAGGGAGCGUAGGUGGAUUGUUAAGGCAGUUGUGAAAGUUUGCGGCUCAACCGUAAAAUUGCAGUUGAAACUGGCAGUCUUGAGUACAGUAGAGGUGGGCGGAAUUCGUGGUGUAGCGGUGAAAUGCUUAGAUAUCACGAAGAACUCCGAUUGCGAAGGCAGCUCACUGGACUGCAACUGACACUGAGGCUCGAAAGUGUGGGUAUCAAACAGGAUUAGAUACCCGAGUAGUC